GAUGAACGCUAGCGGCAGGCUUAACACAUGCAAGUCGAGGGCAGCAUAAACAUUGCUUGCAAUGUUUGAUGGCGACCGGCGCACGGGUGCGUAACGCGUAUGUAACCUACCUCAAACAGGGGCAUAACACUGAGAAAUUGGUACUAAUUCCCCAUAAUACUUCGGGAGGCAUCUUCUGAAGUUGAAAGUUCCGGCGGUUUGAGAUGGACAUGCGUUGUAUUAGCUAGUUGGUGGGUAACGGCUCACCAAGGCGACGAUACAUAGGGGGACUGAGAGGUUAACCCCCCACACUUGGUACUGAGACACGGACCAAACUCCUACGGGAGGCAGCAGUGAGGAAUAUUAGGUCAAUGGGCGAGAGCCGUGAACCAGCCAAGUCGCGUGAGGGAAGACU
rnacentral:rRNA from 1 species